rnacentral:snRNA from 1 species
AGGUGAGGGCGAUCUGGCUGCGACAUCUGUCACCCCAUUGAUCGCCAGGGUUGAUUCGGCUGAUCUGGCUGGCUAGGCGGGUGUCCCCUUCCUCCCUCACCGCUCCAUGUGCGUCCCUCCCGAAGCUGCGCGCUGGGUCGAAGAGGACGACCAUCCCCGAUAGAGGAGAGGACCGUUCUUCAGUCAAGGGUAUACGAGUAGCUGCGCUCCCCUGCUAGAACCUCCAAACAAGAUACAGAUUAUUUUAAAUCAGUUGUAGAAGUUCUCUGCCUCUCUCAACUCAGGCCAGGAAAUUCAAGUCGUGACCUUACAUCCUGUUCUU